AUUGAACGCUGGCGGAAUGCUUUACACAUGCAAGUCGAACGGUGGAGGGGGCAACCCCUCGAGAGUGGCGAACGGGUGAGUAAUAUAUCGGAACGUGCCCAGUCGUGGGGGAUAACGUAGCGAAAGUUACGCUAAUACCGCAUACGAUCUAAGGAUGAAAGCGGGGGAUCGCAAGACCUCGCGCGAUUGGAGCGGCCGAUAUCAGAUUAGGUAGUUGGUGGGGUAAAGGCUCACCAAGCCAACGAUCUGUAGCUGGUCUGAGAGGACGACCAGCCACACUGGAACUGAGACACGGUCCAGACGCCUACGGGAGGCAGCAGUGGGGAAUUUUGGACAAUGGCCGCAAGUCUGAUCCAGCCAUUCCGCGUGCAGGAUGAAGGCCCUCGGGUUGUAAACUGCUUUUGUACGGAACGAAAAGGUCUCUCUUAAUACGGGGGGCUCAUGACGGUACCGUAAGAAUAAGCACCGGCUAACUACGUGCCAGCAGCCGCCGUAA
rnacentral:rRNA from 1 species